GACGAACGCUGGCGGCGUGCUUAACACAUGCAAGUCGAACGGAAAGGCCCUGCUUUUGUGGGGUGCUCGAGUGGCGAACGGGUGAGUAACACGUGAGUAACCUGCCCUUGACUUUGGGAUAACUUCAGGAAACUGGGGCUAAUACCGGAUAGGAGCUCCUGCUGCAUGGUGGGGGUUGGAAAGUUUCGGCGGUUGGGGAUGGACUCGCGGCUUAUCAGCUGGUUGGUGGGGUAGUGGCUUACCAAGGCUUUGACGGGUAGCCGGCCUGAGAGGGUGACCGGCCACAUUGGGACUGCGAUACGGCCCAGACUCCUACGGGAGGCAGCAGUGGGGAAUAUUGCACAAUGGGCGGAAGCCUGAUGCAGCAACGCCGCGUGCGGGAUGACGGCCUUCGGGUUGUAAACCGCUUUCGCCUGUGACGAAGCGUGAGUGACGGUAAUGGGUAAAGAAGCACCGGCUAACUACGUG
rnacentral:rRNA from 1 species